CAGUCUCUUUACGAAGAACAAUAGCAAGAAGAGGUUAGAAUCUGCAAGAGAGAGAGAGAGAGAGAGAGAGAGAGCGAUUAUGGCGAAGAGAUCAAACAACAUUCCCUGAACAAGUCAAGAGGGUAAGAAGAGGAAGGGGCACUGUCUGCAUUGCUCUUGCUUAUGAAUCAUGUGAGGAGGAGCCACAGAUCAGGAUGUGGAGGUUCCCAAAUGUUUCUUGGGAUGACAUUGGAGCCGAGGUGUCUUGAGAAUGUCAAGAGAGAGACUGUUCAAUACCCUGUGGAGAUGGUCAGGAGGAGCUUGAGAGGUGAAAGGUGAUGAAGAAGCCAAACACGGCUGGCUAAGCUGUUUGAUGUGGAAGAAGAGAGCAUGAUGACAUAAAGAGUAAGGAGUUCCACAAACAUAUAUCUUUUGAAAUUAUGCUCCUCCGUAUCCAAGAGCGAAGUUCUUCUUGCUUAGAAAUGAGGAAUGACCCUUUACUGUCUGAGAUUUGAAAGACCUUCAAGUUAGAAAUGAGGAAUGGACCUUUACUUGUGUCACUCUCUCAGGAUGAUAGUUUUAAUCGAUUCUCAGUUAUAGAUUGAUUGUGUAGCCGGUUUAUGGUCGUCGUUUUAACUAGUAUAGUUGGUAUGUAUGGCCUCUUGUAGAAAUCGUCUCUCGAGUAUUUGACCACAUAAAAUAAGCUUGGAUAGGUCUUAUAUGUAAGCUUGUACUCUGAAAUCAGUUUGGACAGCAGAUCAUGUUGUUGUAAGAAUGAUAGUGUAUCUCUCUCCUCUUCUGCCAGUGUAUAAAUUAAUUUGAUGGAGUC